UCGCCUGUUUAUCAAAAACAUUUCUAUAAGAAUUUAUUUAUAGUAAGACCUGCUCAAUGACAACAAUAAAUAGCCGCAGAAAGACUGUGCUAAGGUAGCAUAAUAACUUGCUUCUUAAUUAGAAGAUAGAAUGAAAGGUUACACAUUUAAUAAUGUAUCUACUAAACAAACAAAACUAAUAAAAAAGUAAAAACCCUUUUACUACAAAGCGGGACGACAAGACCCUGAUAAACUUAACAUUUAGUUGGGGAAACAUAUUAAUUACUAUUUAAAAUAAUAAAUACACAACUAAAACAAUCAAUAAAGACUAGUUACUACAGGGAUAACAGCGCAAUUUUCUUUAAGAGCCCACAUCAAAAAGAAAGAUUACGACCUCGAUGUUGAAUUAAUUAUCCUGUGUGAUGCAGCAGCCACAACUACAGGUAGUCUGUUCGACUAUUAAAUAUUUACAUGAUCUGAGUUCAAACCGGA
rnacentral:rRNA from 1 species